rnacentral:lncRNA from 1 species
AUGGCGGUCCCGCUGGUGGCGGUGGCGCUGCCGCUGCUGCUCUGGAGCCUGGAGGCCGGAGCUGCCUCCUUGCCUCUGCAGGAUGGGAAGGAACCCGACUGCUCUCAGCUGGAUGUUGGUGUGCAUCUCCCGCUGUGUGGCCGCCAGCUGCCAGUGGAGGAGAAUCUGAGUGUGGAGCAGCGGCACCACGGUCUCUUGGAGGAGCUGCAGCAGCUGGCAGAGGACGAGAGGAGAAGAGAGAGGGACUAUGCUCGGGAGAAAGAGGUGUAUGAGAGAACUGAAGAGGAGGCUGAUGAGAACCAUCUGAAUGAAAAUCAUGAGGAGCAGAAGAGGAGACAGGAGAUGAUGGAGGAGCCCAGACUAGAGGUGAGCAAAAGAGGGGAUGAAGAGAAGGCCAGAGAACUAGAAGAACUUCUGGCUGAGGAGAUCAGGAAGAAGGAGAAGAAAGAUGGGGAGGAGAUGGAAAAACUCCUCCUAGAGCUGAAGAAGAAGAGGAAGCAGAAGAAAAUGUACGAGUCAGAGAAAGAAGACAGGAAGGAUGAGGAGGAGGAGGAGGAUGUGAAAAAAAGCAGCAAGGAAAACCUGGAGGACAUGGAGAGAAGGAGGAGUGAGGAUAGGAAGAAAAACGAGGUGGAGCUGAUGGUGGAGAAGGAGAAGGUGGAGCAAGAGCUGAAGCGGCUGCUGGAGGAGGAGAAAGAUGCCACAAAGACGUGGGAGAAGGAGAAGCAGAAGGAGCAGAAAGAGGAGGAGCUGCAGGAGCUUCUGAGGAAGAUGGAGAACAUGAAGCAGGGACAGGAGAAGGAGGUGACCAGUCCACCAGAUGUGACUGGGGAGAAUGAGGAGCAGGUGGAGGUGCAGCGAGAGGGAGGGAUAAAGGAACCUCAGCAGAAGAGGGUAAUGGAGAAAGCCAGUGACGAGGCCACUCGCCAGUUUGAACAGGAGAAGAUCAGAGAGGAUGAGACAGAUGAAGAUGAGGAAGGCGGCCAGGAGGAAGAUGGUGGAGAGGAGGAGAAGGAUGAAGAGGAGGAUGAAGGAGAGGAGCUGCUGGAGAUCGAAGCACAGCUGCGCAGAGUGGCCGAAGAAUUGAGAGCCAUACGGCAAGGCUGAGAUCUCCACACACACAGCUUCUCACCACUUUCAAACCAGCUUUCAUACUUGUGUAGUUCAUAUGAAACUCCAUGAAUCAGUAUAGAUAUUUAAAACUGAUUGACUGAUGACAGGGGCAUGCUGUUCAUUGAAACACGUUUAUACGAUUUGUUUCUAAUGAGCGGCAGAUUUCCCAUGCUGUGUAAAUCCAUAACGCAUAACGUGACAUGAUGGCAGGUGUGUAAAUGCUCACCAUAAACUAAUACUUUAUAUCAGAAUGUCAUUUGGAACGAUGGCAUCUGUGUGAAGACUGUUAUAGUGUAUUCUGAUCAGUGCAGGUAUCAGCUUUCUCUGUUUACUAUGUGUCACUUCUGGCUCGAACACUGUUAAUUAAUACAAUAAAAGGAAAAACUGUUAAUAAUGUGAAUGGAAG